GGAGAAAUCCAAGGGUUUGGUACGAUUCUUUUGGGUGAAGAUAGUAAAGAUGGGCUUGGAUUAGAGCAAGACUACAGGAUAGAUAGUUUUGAUACUGAUAAUAAUGAAGUAGCCCAAUUUACAACAGUAUACCUUAGAAAUUUGCAAAACUUAGGAUUUUGUACCCAACUAGCCAAUUAUAGGUUUUUUAUUUUCAUGAAUAAUAAAACUCAUGUUCUAGUAGAAGGUUGUUGUGUUAAUCUAAACACUUUAGAACCCUUAUUGUUUGAGACAUUGGAUGGUGGACUUAGUUACUGCUUAUCUAAGAAAGGGAAACAUAUUUUGAAAGAAUUAUUGUUAGCUUACAAUUACUUGGAAAAAAUUGAGAUUCUUUUUUCAAGGGGAGAAGAUCCAACAAACGUUCUUUUCUUGAAGGGUGAUCAAAACCAUAUAUAUCCAUGAAUAAUCAAUUUCUACGAUGAUGGUUUUAGUACGUCUUUUUCACUUUUUCUUAUUUCUCCGUAUAAUUAAACUUAUUAUAUUAGAUUUGAUUUUAUCGUUUUUAAUAUUUCAGAUAAAGGUACCAACAAUUAUAAAAAGUU
rnacentral:lncRNA from 1 species